UACAGAGGUGGCAAGCGUUGUUCGGAAUUACUGGGCGUAAAGGGCGCGUAGGUGGCCUUCUUAGUCAGACGUGAAAUCCCCGGGCUUAACUCGGGAACUGCGCCCGAUACUGCAGUGCUUGAGGGAGACAGAGGUAAGCGGAACUGAUGGUGGAGCGGUGAAAUGCGUUGAUAUCAUCAGGAACACCGGUGGCGAAAGCGGCUUACUGGGUCUCUUCUGACGCUGAGAAACGAAAGCUAGGGGAGCGAAGGGG
rnacentral:rRNA from 1 species